GAUGAACGCUGGCGGCGUGCCUAAUACAUGCAAGUCGAGCGAACAGACGAGGAGCUUGCCCCUCUGACGUUAGCGGCGGACGGGUGAGUAACACGUGGAUAACCUACCUAUAAGACUGGGAUAACUUCGGGAAACCGGAGCUAAUACCGGAUAAUAUAUUGAACCGCAUGGUUCAAUAGUGAAAGACGGUUUUGCUGUCACUUAUAGAUGGAUCCGCGCCGCAUUAGCUAGUUGGUAAGGUAACGGCUUACCAAGGCAACGAUGCGUAGCCGACCUGAGAGGGUGAUCGGGCACACUGGAACGGAGACACGGUCCAGACUCCUACGGGAGGCAGCAGUAGGGAAUCUUCCGCAAUGGGCGAAAGCCUGACGGAGCAACGCCGCGUGAGUGAUGAAGGUCUUCGGAUCGUAAAACUCUGUUAUUAGGGAAGAACAAAUGUGUAAGUAACUAUGCACGUCUUGACGGUACCUAAUCAGAAAGCCACGGCUAACUACGUG
rnacentral:rRNA from 1 species